rnacentral:rRNA from 1 species
UUUAGAGGAAGUAAAAGUCGUAACAAGUUUCCGUAGGUGACCUGCGGAAGGAUCAUUACAGUAGUCACCCGGGUUGCCGCAAGGCCUCUCGGGUAACCUACCACCCUUUGUUUAUUACACUUUGUUGCUUUGGCAGGCCUGCCUUCGGGCUGCUGGCUCCGGCCGGCGAGCGCUUGCCAGAGGAUCUAAACUCUGUUUGUCUAUACUGUCUGAGUACUAUAUAAUAGUUAAAACUUUCAACAACGGAUCUCUUGGUUCUGGCAUCGAUGAAGAACGCAGCGAAAUGCGAUAAGUAAUGUGAAUUGCAGAAUUCAGUGAAUCAUCGAAUCUUUGAACGCACAUUGCGCCCCCUGGUAUUCCGGGGGGCAUGCCUGUCCGAGCGUCAUUACAACCCUCAAGCUCUGCUUGGUGUUGGGCCCCGCCGCCCCGGCGGGCCCUAAAGUCAGUGGCGGUGCCAUCCGGCUCCGAGCGUAGUAAUUCUUCUCGCUCUGGAGGUCCGGUUGUGUGCUUGCCAUCAACCCCCAAUUUUUUUCAGGUUGACCUCGGAUCAGGUAGGGAUACCCGCUGAACUUAAGCAUA